rnacentral:rRNA from 1 species
CUAGCCUGCUCNCUGACAUAAAGUGUUAAAUAGCCGCGGUAUCUUGACCGCGCAAAGGUAGCAUAAUCGUUAGUUUCUUAAUUGGGAACUUGUAUGAAUGGUUGGACAAAGAAAAAUCUGUCUCUUGCACUGAAAUUGAAUUUAACUUCUAAGUGAAAAGGCUUAGAUUAUCCAGAGGGACGAUAAGACCCUAAAAAGCUUUAUAAAUUUAUUAUAUUCGUUUAUUUUUAAAUAUAAUAAUGAUGAUAAGAGAAUUUAUUUGGUUGGGGCCACCGAUGUAUAAUUUUAAAUAACUGCUAUAAUUUAAUACAAUGAUUUUUGUCUUAUACAAUAAUUGAUCCUAAAAGAGAUUAAAGACCAAGUUACUUUAGGGAUAACAGCGUAAUUUAUACUGGGAGUUCUUAUCAAAGGAAAAGUUUGCGACCUCGAUGUUGAAUUAAAAUGUCUACCUAGUGCAGCAGCUAGGAAAGAAGGUCUGUUCGACCUUUAAUUUUUUACAUGAUC